rnacentral:lncRNA from 1 species
GCGGGGUGGUGUUUGGAUUGGAAGAGGGCUGAUGAUCCAUGUUGCCGUGGGAUAGAUAAAUACGUUACAUGGGUUUCGAGAUCUAAUGCAUGCUUACCUGUUACUGCGAGACUUAGCGGUGUGAAUGUGGCGUCUGCGGCUGUGACAGAGAGAGGUCGGAGGCGAUUCGACUGGAGACCGAGGCAUGUGGUGGUGAUGGU